rnacentral:rRNA from 1 species
AGCAGCCGCGGUAAUUCCAGCUCCAAUAGCGUAUAUUAAAGUUGUUGCAGUUAAAAAGCUCGUAGUUGAAUUUCGGGAUCAAUUUGCUGGUCGUGCCUCUGGUACGUACUGGUAUUAUUGGUUUCUCCCUUCUGACGAACCAUGAUGUCAUUAAUUUGAUGUCGUGGAGAAUCAGGACUGUUACUUUGAAAAAUUAGAGUGUUUAAAGCAGGCAUUAGCUUGAAUACAUUAGCAUGGAAUAAUGAAAUAGGACGUUUGAUCCUAUUUUGUUGGUUUCUAGGAUUGACGUAAUGAUUAAUAGGGAUAGUUGGGGGCAUUAGUAUUCAAUUGUCAGAGGUGAAAUUCUUGGAUUUAUUGAAGACUAACUACUGCGAAAGCAUUUGCCAAGGAUGUUUUCAUUAAUCAAGAACGAAAGUUAGGGGAUCGAAGACGAUCAGAUACCGUCGUAGUCUUAACCAUAAACUAUGCCGAC